rnacentral:lncRNA from 1 species
CUACGGGACAACUCGCUGGCAUAUAGACCGGCGGCAACUUUCACAGGGUCAAUCCUUGAUGGAUAGCCCCCGAAGCCAGGUCCAUUGGAAAUCGAAAUAAAGAAAAAGAUACACGCUGCGCAGAUAUAGGGUAUAUCUAGUAAUUAAAAGGAUCAGUGGGAGGAGAGGAAGAAAAGGCUGACUAUAUGUUUCUUGUGUACCAAGAAAAUUAAGAGCAAUUUGGUCGAGGAUAUUUCUUGUUACCAUAUUGAGUAACUAACACUCCCUUGUAGAUCUUUGCUGCCUCAGUGCUAGUAAGAACACCGUCCUUUAUCUGAUGAGGCUUCUGAGCUGGAACUUCCCUCGUCUUCACGGGAUUUCUGAUCUGAUGAUGAGGAGGUGGAACAUGACUUUGAUCCAUGUUGGGGUGUGGAUAGUAUUGUACCUGUUGAGGAGGAGGAAGAGGCCUAACGCUGCCAUGGUGUUCGUCUCUCGUGGCAGGUGCUGGGAAGUAUGGAACUUUUUCUGCAGGGUGGACAUGAUCAUAAUGCACGCAAUGGCAGUCUUCUAUUAUGGUGUGGCGUUCUGAUACAACGUGCGCUGACCUGCUAUGAUAAAACACUUUCUCCUCUCUCGUGGUCAUAAAGCCUUGAUAAAAAGCCAUGCUAACUUAAUUAAAAGCUGAGAAUUGAAGUAGAACUAAUUGAUCAAGGGGAAGCUAGAGCUAGCUAGGUUUGCCUUGCCUUACUGAAACAAAGGUUAAGAGCGCAAGCAACAUUAUAUAGGAGUGAGAGUCACAGAAGCUCACAAGUGGGCUUUCUGAU